rnacentral:rRNA from 1 species
AGUGAACGCUGGCGGCGUGCUUAACACAUGCAAGUCGAACGAGAACGGGUUAUAGCUUGCUAUAAUUGUCAGCUAAGUGGCGCACGGGUGAGUAAUGUAUAGGUAAUAUGCCUCUUACUAAGGGAUAACAAAUGGAAACGUUUGCUAAUACCUUAUACUCCUUAUUAACAGAAGUUAAUAGGGGAAAGAUUUAUUGGUAAGAGAUUAGCCUGUAUUGUAUCAGUUAGUUGGUGGGGUAAUGGCUUACCAAGACUAUGACACAUAACUGGUUUGAGAGGAUGAUCAGUCACACUGGAACUGAGACACGGUCCAGACUCCUACGGGAGGCAGCAGUGGGGAAUAUUGCACAAUGGACGAAAGCCUGAUGCAGCAACGCCGCGUGGAGGAUGACACAUUUCGGUGCGUAAACUCCUUUUAUAUGAGAAGAUAAUGACGGUAUUAUAUGAAUAAGCACCGGCUAACUCCGUGCCAGCCGCCGCCGUAA